AGAGCUCUCGUGGUGGUUGGAGCUCAGCUUCCUCCAACCAAAAUUGGUGUUGGGGCAGAGACAGAGGAGAGCAGCAGCUAUUUGAUCCUGGCUUUAUCCCUCCUCCAGACCCUGUGGAAGCUUGUCUGCUGGAGCCCUCAUCUAACUGCUCUCUGCCCCUUGGAGAGUGCUGUGGCCACACUAGGGAGGAAGUAACUGGCCCAGUGUUCUCACCUCAGCAGGACAGCACGGAAUGACCCAGAAUGACCCCGUUCGGGAUGGUCCUUGGCAUCGCCCUCUGUCUCUGACCUGUGGCAGAGGAAAGAAGGAGCAAGAAACACGGUGUCAGAGAGAGGGAUAAAUUAAGAGGCCAAACAUAAAGAACAUGAAGAACACUCAUGAUUGUUUUGUUAUUAGAAUUUGGGUUUACAUAUGUGUAUGU